UCUUAGAAAAGGCAAACCUAGUGAAAACUAGGGACGCAAAACUACGGGCCUAAAGCACAAGCUAUGGUAGCCGGGUUGCCGAA
rnacentral:ncRNA from 1 species